rnacentral:rRNA from 1 species
UACGUAGGGGGCAAGCGUUGCUCGGAAUCACUGGGCGUAAAGCGCACGUAGGCGGUCUCUUAAGUCGGUGGUGAAAUCCUGGAGCUCAACUCCAGAACUGCCUUCGAUACUGAGAGUCUCGAGUCCGGGAGAGGUGAGUGGAACUGCGAGUGUAGAGGUGAAAUUCGUAGAUAUUCGCAAGAACACCAGUGGCGAAGGCGGCUCACUGGCCCGGUACUGACGCUGAGGUGCGAAAGCGUGGGGAGCAAACAGG